AUCAUGAGCAAAUACUUUCUUGGGCCUUACUCAAGACCCUCGUAACAAUUUUUGGGAAGCCCUUAGGGGUUG
rnacentral:snRNA from 1 species